rnacentral:rRNA from 1 species
UACGAAGGGGGCUAGCGUUGCUCGGAAUCACUGGGCGUAAAGGGCGCGUAGGCGGCCUGAUAAGUCGGGGGUGAAAGCCUGUGGCUCAACCACAGAAUUGCCUUCGAUACUGUUGGACUUGAGACCGGAAGAGGUAAGUGGAACUGCGAGUGUAGAGGUGAAAUUCGUAGAUAUUCGCAAGAACACCAGUGGCGAAGGCGGCUUACUGGUCCGGAUCUGACGCUGAGGCGCGAAAGCGUGGGGAGCAAACAGG